CAUGCAGUCGAGCGGUAAGGCCUUUCGGGGUACACGAGCGGCGAACGGGUGAGUAACACGUGGGUGAUCUGCCCUGCACUUCGGGAUAAGCCUGGGAAACUGGGUCUAAUACCGGAUAUGACCUCCUAUCGCAUGGUGGGUGGUGGAAAGAUUUAUCGGUGCAGGAUGGGCCCGCGGCCUAUCAGCUUGUUGGUGGGGUAAUGGCCUACCAAGGCGACGACGGGUAGCCGACCUGAGAGGGUGACCGGCCACACUGGGACUGAGACACGGCCCAGACUCCUACGGGAGGCAGCAGUGGGGAAUAUUGCACAAUGGGCGAAAGCCUGAUGCAGCGACGCCGCGUGAGGGAUGACGGCCUUCGGGUUGUAAACCUCUUUCAGCAGGGACGAAGCGCAAGUGACGGUACCUGCAGAAGAAGCACCGGCUAACUACGUGCCAGCAGCCGCGGUAAUACGUAGGGUGCAAGCGUUGUCCGGAAUUACUGGGCGUAAAGAGUUCGUAGGCGGUUUGUCGCGUCGUUUGUGAAAACCAGCAGCUCAACUGCUGGCUUGCAGGCGAUACGGGCAGACUUGAGUACUGCAGGGGAGACUGGAAUUCCUGGUGUAGCGGUGAAAUGCGCAGAUAUCAGGAGGAACACCGGUGGCGAAGGCGGGUCUCUGGGCAGUAACUGACGCUGAGGAACGAAAGCGUGCGUAGCGAACAGGAUUAGAUACCCUGGGUAGUCCACGCCGUAAACGGUGGGCGCUAGGUGUGGGUUCCUUCCUCGGACUCCGUGCGGUAGCUAACGCAUUAAGCGCCCCGCCUGGGGAGUACGGCCGCAGGCCUAAAACUCAAAGGAAUUGACAGGGGGCCGCACAAGCGGCGGAGCAUGUGCUUUAAUUCGAUGCAACGCGAAAAACUUAACUGGGUUUGACAUAUACCGGAAAGCUGCAGAGAUGUGGCCCCCCUUGUGGUCGGUAUACAGGUGGUGCAUGGCUGUCGUCAGCUCGUGUCGUGAGAUGUU
rnacentral:rRNA from 1 species